rnacentral:rRNA from 1 species
AAUGGGCGCAAGCCUGAUCCAGCGAUGCCGCGUGGAUGAUGAAGGCCCUAGGGUUGUAAAGUCCUUUCGAUGGUGAAGAUAAUGACGGUAACCAUUAAAGAAGCCCCGGCUAAUUUCGUGCCAGCAGCCGCGGUAAUACGAAAGGGGCAAGCGUUGUUCGGAAUUACUGGGCGUAAAGCGCGCGUAGGCGGCAUGCCAAGUUGGGGGUGAAAUCCCGGAGCUCAACUCCGGAACUGCCUCCAAAACUGGCAAGCUAGAGGAUGUGAGAGGAUAGUGGAAUUCCGAGUGUAGAGGUGAAAUUCGUAGAUAUUCGGAAGAACACCAGUGGCGAAGGCGACUGUCUGGCACAUCUCUGACGCUGAGGUGCGAAAGCGUGGGGAGCGAACAGGAUU